AUCAUGUCAGCUCUCACUCACUGGAUCUCAGAUCAGUGUUUGGUCUGGAGGUCAGAGUUCAUCUGUGAGAAUAAGCUGCUUCUACACUGUGAUGAAGGGACAAAUUAAAAAACCAUCUGCUCACUCUGAUCCAGUGACAGUUACAGUCCAGAUUUCAACAUCAACCAUUAAACAUACGAGUACAACAGCCACGACAACCUCUUUAACUGUAAUGUCCACUUCUGAAACCACAACAUACAGUAAAACUGUAGACCUUCAUUCCAAGACAAACCUUCCAACCAACACAGAAAAGGAAACAAUCUCGAUACACUUUAUAUGUAAACAUGUUUCAACAUCAAUAUCCACUCAAACUCAAACUCAAACUCAAACUCAAGCUUCACAAUUGGACACUGUCAUUUCCACAUCUGAAACCCCAGUGUACCGCACAACAGUGGCUCAUACUAAAGGUCCACACUCACCAACAUACAAAGAUCUAUGGUUUAUAGUGCUGGUUUUCACUGGUGUUGCUGUCAUUUUGUCUGGACUCAUGGGACUCAUCUGUCUCUGCCGGUUUGCAAGUAAAAAGAGAAGAAAACGGUAAGUUUUAUAUUCAUUCAAUUUAGUAGUAGGCCUAUAUGUUUGUUAGUAGUCUAUAUUGUAGUCCAGG
rnacentral:lncRNA from 1 species